rnacentral:rRNA from 1 species
CAGCCGCCGCGGGAAUACGAAGGGGGCUAGCGUUGUUCGGAAUUACUGGGCGUAAAGCGCACGUAGGCGGACAUUUAAGUCAGGGGUGAAAUCCCGGGGCUCAACCCCGGAACUGCCUUUGAUACUGGGUGUCUAGAGUAUGGAAGAGGUGAGUGGAAUUACGAGUGUAGAGGUGAAAUUCGUAGAUAUUCGGAGGAACACCAGUGGCGAAGGCGGCUCACUGGUCCAUUACUGACGCUGAGGUGCGAAAGCGUGGGGAGCAAACAGGAUUAGAUACCCGCGUAGUCCCUGUCUCUUAUAC